rnacentral:rRNA from 1 species
UACAGAGGUCCCAAGCGUUGUUCGGAUUCAUUGGGCGUAAAGGGUGCGUAGGCGGCGCGGUAAGUCGGGUGUGAAAUCUCGGGGCUUAACUCCGAAACUGCAUUCGAUACUGCCGUGCUCGAGGACUGGAGAGGAGACUGGAAUUUACGGUGUAGCGGUGAAAUGCGUAGAUAUCGUAAGGAAGACCAGUGGCGAAGGCGGGUCUCUGGACAGUUCCUGACGCUGAGGCACGAAGGCCAGGGGAGCAAACGGG